CCCCUAGUAACUGCGAGUGAAGCGGGAAAAGCUCAAAUUUAAAAUCUGGCGGUCUUUGGCUGUCCGAGUUGUAAUCUAGAGAAGUGUUAUCCGCGCUGGACCGUGUACAAGUCUCCUGGAAUGGAGCGUCAUAGAGGGUGAGAAUCCCGUCUUUGACACGGACUGCCAGGGCUUUGUGAUGCGCUCUCAAAGAGUCGAGUUGUUUGGGAAUGCAGCUCAAAAUGGGUGGUAAAUUCCAUCUAAAGCUAAAUAUUGGCGAGAGACCGAUAGCGAACAAGUACCGUGAGGGAAAGAUGAAAAGAACUUUGGAAAGAGAGUUAAACAGUACGUGAAAUUGCUGAAAGGGAAACGCUUGAAGUCAGUCGCGUUGGCCAGGGAUCAACCUUGCUUUUGCUGGGCGUACUUCCUGGUUAAUGGGUCAGCAUCAAUUUUGACCGUUGGAUAAAGGUUAGGGGAAUGUGGCAUCUUCGGAUGUGUUAUAGCCCUUGGCCGCAUACAACGGUUGGGAUUGAGGAACUCAGCACGCCGCAAGGCCGGGUAUUUAUACCACGUUCGUGCUUAGGAUGCUGGCAUAAUGGCUUUAAUCGACCCGUCUUGAAACACGGACCAAGGAGUCUAACAUGCCUGCGAGUGUUUGGGUGGAAAACCCGAGCGCGUAAUGAAAGUGAAAGUUGAGAUCCCUGUCGUGGGGAGCAUCGACGCCCGGACCAGACCUUCUGUGACGGCUCCGCGGUAGAGCAUGUAUGUUGGGACCCGAAAGAUGGUGAACUAUGCCUGAAUAGGGUGAAGCCAGAGGAAACUCUGGUGGAGGCUCGUAGCGAUUCUGACGUGCAAAUCGAUCGUCAA
rnacentral:rRNA from 1 species